UACGUAGGGGGCAAGCGUUGUCCGGAAUCAUUGGGCGUAAAGCGCGUGUAGCGGCCCGGUAAGUCCGUGUGAAAGUCGGGGGCUCAACCUCGGAUGCCGGUGGAUACUGUCGGGCUAGAGUGCGGGAGAGGCGAGUGGAAUUCCUGGGUGAUAGCGGUGAAAUGCGCAGAUAUCAGGAGGAACACCAAUUGCGAAGGCAGCUCGCUGGAACGUUACUGACG
rnacentral:rRNA from 1 species